GACGAACGCUGGCGGCGUGCUUAACACAUGCAAGUCGAACGGAAAGGCCCUGCUUUUGUGGGGUGCUCGAGUGGCGAACGGGUGAGUAACACGUGAGUAACCUGCCCUUGACUUUGGGAUAACUUCAGGAAACUGGGGCUAAUACCGGAUAGGAGCUCCUGCUGCAUGGUGGGGGUUGGAAAGUUUCGGCGGUUGGGGAUGGACUCGCGGCUUAUCAGCUUGUUGGUGGGGUAGUGGCUUACCAAGGCUUUGACGGGUAGCCGGCCUGGGAGGGUGACCGGCCACAUUGGGACUGGGAUACGGCCCAGACUCCUACGGGAGGCAGCAGUGGGGAAUAUUGCACAAUGGGCGGAAGCCUGAUGCGGCAACGCCGCGUGCGGGAUGACGGCCUUCGGGUUGUAAACCGCUUUCGCCUGUGACGAAGCGUGAGUGACGGUAAUGGGUAAAGAAGCACCGGCUAACUACGUG
rnacentral:rRNA from 1 species